CCCUACGGGGGGCAGCAGUAGGGAAUCUUCCACAAUGGGCGAAAGCCUGAUGGAGCAACGCCGCGUGGGUGAAGAAGGUCUUCGGAUCGUAAAACCCUGUUGUUAGAGAAGAAAGUGCGUGAGAGUAACUGUUCACGUUUCGACGGUAUCUAACCAGAAAGCCACGGCUAACUACGUGCCAGCAGCCGCGGUAAUACGUAGGUGACAAGCGUUAUCCGGAUUUAUUGGGCGUAAAGGGAACGCAGGCGGUCUUUUAAGUCUGAUGUGAAAGCCUUCGGCUUAACCUGAGUAGUGCAUUUCAAACU
rnacentral:rRNA from 1 species